rnacentral:rRNA from 1 species
AACGAACGCUGGCGGCAGGCCUAACACAUGCAAGUCGAGCGAACCCUUCGGGGUUAGCGGCGGACGGGUUAGUAACGCGUGGGAAUAUACCCUUUGGUACGGAAUAGCCUCGGGAAACUGAGAGUAAUACCGUAUGUGCCCUUCGGGGGAAAGAUUUAUCGCCAAAGGAUUAGCCCGCGUUGGAUUAGAUAGUUGGUGGGGUAAUGGCCUACCAAGUCUACGAUCCAUAGCUGGUUUGAGAGGAUGAUCAGCCACACUGGGACUGAGACACGGCCCAGACUCCUACGGGAGGCAGCAGUGGGGAAUUUUGGACAAUGGGCGAAAGCCUGAUCCAGCCAUGCCGCGUGAGUGAAGAAGGCCUGGUUGUAAGACUCUUUCAGGUGGAAGAAAGACGGA